rnacentral:rRNA from 1 species
UACGGGGGGGGCAAGCGUUGUUCGGAAUUACUGGGCGUAAAGGGCUCGUAGGCGGCCAACUAAGUCGGACGUGAAAUCCCUCGGCUUAACCGGGGAACUGCGUCCGAUACUGGAUGGCUUGAGUUCGGGAGAGGGAUGCGGAAUUCCAGGUGUAGCGGUGAAAUGCGUAGAUAUCUGGAGGAACACCGGUGGCGAAGGCGGCAUCCUGGACCGAUACUGACGCUGAGGAGCGAAAGCCAGGGGAGCAAAGCGGG